rnacentral:rRNA from 1 species
AACGCUAGCUACAGGCUUAACACAUGCAAGUCGAGGGGAAACGAUAUUGGAAGCUUGCUUCCGAUAGGCGUCGACCGGCGCACGGGUGAGUAACGCGUAUCCAACCUGCCCGUCACUUGGGAAUAACCUUGCGAAAGUAAGACUAAUGCCCAAUGACAUUUAUAGAAGGCAUCUGAAAUGAAUUAAAGAUUUAUCGGUGAUGGAUGGGGAUGCGUCUGAUUAGCUUGUUGGCGGGGUAACGGCCCACCAAGGCGACGAUCAGUAGGGGUUCUGAGAGGAAGGUCCCCCACAUUGGAACUGAGACACGGUCCAAACUCCUACGGGAGGCAGCAGUGAGGAAUAUUGGUCAAUGGGCGAGAGCCUGAACCAGCCAAGUAGCGUGCAGGAUGACGGCCCUAUGGGUUGUAAACUGCUUUUAUAGGGGAAUAAAGUGAGCCACGUGUGGUUUUUUGCAUGUACCCUAUGAAUAAGGACCGGCUAAUUCCGUGCCAGCAGCCGCGGUAAUACGGAAGGUCCGGGCGUUAUCCGGAUUUAUUGGGUUUAAAGGGAGCGUAGGCCGGAGAUUAAGCGUGUUGUGAAAUGUAGACGCUCAACGUCUGCACUGCAGCGCGAACUGGUUUCCUUGAGUACGCAUAAAGUGGGCGGAAUUCGUGGUGUAGCGGUGAAAUGCUUAGAUAUCACGAAGAACUCCGAUUG